rnacentral:rRNA from 1 species
AACGAACGCUGGCGGCAUGCCUAACACAUGCAAGUCGAACGAGACCUUCGGGUCUAGUGGCGCACGGGUGCGUAACGCGUGGGAAUCUGCCCUUGGGUUCGGAAUAACAGUUGGAAACGACUGCUAAUACCGGAUGAUGACGUAAGUCCAAAGAUUUAUCGCCCAGGGAUGAGCCCGCGUAGGAUUAGCUAGUUGGUGGGGUAAAGGCCUACCAAGGCGACGAUCCUUAGCUGGUCUGAGAGGAUGAUCAGCCACACUGGGACUGAGACACGGCCCAGACUCCUACGGGAGGCAGCAGUGGGGAAUAUUGGACAAUGGGCGAAAGCCUGAUCCAGCAAUGCCGCGUGAGUGAUGAAGGCCUUAGGGUUGUAAAGCUCUUUUACCCGGGAUGAUAAUGACAGUACCGGGAGAAUAAGCCCCGGCUAACUACGUG